GUGCUUGCUUCGGCAGCACAUACACUAAAAUCAGAAUGAUACAGAGAAGAUUAGCAUGGCCUCUGCACAAGGAUGAUGUGAAAAUUUGUAAAGCAUUCCAUAUUUUA